rnacentral:rRNA from 1 species
UACGGAGGGUGCAAGCGUUAUCCGGAUUCACUGGGUUUAAAGGGUGCGUAGGUGGGCAGGUAAGUCAGUGGUGAAAUCUCCGAGCUUAACUCGGAAACUGCCGUUGAUACUAUUUGUCCUGAAUAUUGUGGAGGUAAGCGGAAUAUGUCAUGUAGCGGUGAAAUGCUUAGAUAUGACAUAGAACACCAAUUGCGAAGGCAGCUUACUACACAACGAUUGACGCUGAGGCACGAAAGCGUGGGGAUCAAACAGG